GGGGGCGACUUGGUUUCGACACGGGUAGCAAGGUUUGAGGUGCAUGCCGAGAGGGUAGUGACUCUCGUUAAACAAUCGCUGCAACGUAAUAGUUGCCAACGACGAAAACUACGCACUAGCGGCCUAAAACCGCCGCUUACACUGACGAUUCGUUUCCUGUGCGAUGAAGUCAGUGGCAGGCUCACAGGAUCGCGCAGCGGCCUCGCCCGGGGCCAAAGCGUUAAAACCAUCGGGCUCGCCGAGAACAAUCCUGACCGUCGGAGUGUUCGAGGUUAAAAAAGAAGACGGAUUCUAAGCAUGUAGAGCCAAUCUCUGAGCGCCAGUGGACGCGGGUUCAACUCCCGCCGCCUCCACCA
rnacentral:tmRNA from 1 species